GUGCCGGCCGGCGCUGGAGCGGGCAGGCUGCUCAAAGUUUCUAGUGCCAUUCCUGGACCGAAACAAAUGUUUGUGGAAUUAAGUAGUGAUUUCCUUUAGUCUGCGCGACUCUUACUGGCUGUGUUUCCAGGCUCUAGAUGUUACCAUAUGCCAUAUAUUGCUUUCUCGGGGAGAAAUCGAGGGUUUCAAAGCACACUUAACCCAUCCUAACUGCUCACGUCAACUAGUCAAGGUCUGCAUUUUCUGAUAAAAAUAACCCGUAAAACUUCCAUAUUAAGAGCUAGAAUGGUUUGGAAGACAAAGAAAUGCUGAAAAAUAGAAGCAGCCGAGGAGAGGGCAGCCCUGGAGUGUUGAGUAUGGCACUGAAGUGGAAUGAAGUGAAGGCAGAAAUUUCACGAAGAAGAGUUGGGGAUGAAAUGUUCAGAGACCAGAUAAAAAGACUUACAGCUUCAUGCAAACACACACACACAUAAACAGGCUCAUACAUAUACACACACUGGGGUUUAAGUACACUGUGAUCUCACUUAAGUUCUGCCUGUGUUUGAGUGUAUGUGUGCCUGUAUUUAACUGGCAUAUUCUUCUCAAAGUUGGGAGAGUGGGGGAAGAAGCCAAGAGGCCCAGGCAGAGGGCAAAGUGCAGCCUCUUGGGUGCCAGCAGGAGGCCUCAUCUAUAAACGCUGCCUCACCCCUGAAGCCUAGCUGGGUCCUGCCAGCCCUCUAGAUUUACACCAUCCCUGAUGCCUUAGAACCUGGCUUGUCCUCUCUGGAGUGUUAUUUACUCCAUUUGUGGGAUUUAUUUAGUUUCCUGAUAAAAGGAAAGGUCUAACACAGAAGACACUCAGUGAACCUCUUUCUUUGCAUAUCCUUGGGACCCCCAACUUAGGAAAGAUUCGCAGAACUGAAAACACCAUUACAACUGUGUAGAACUCCACAACUUCUACACCGCCUUUGUAUCCAUUGCAUCAUCAGCAAAUAUUUUCACACGUUGGAAAUCCACCAUGAUUAAACAUUUGGCUACGUACUAGGCACUUUGCUAAGUGAAUGGUAUAUAUCUUCUCCUGUUUAAUGCAUCUAAAAAUUAUGUGAGAAUGAAUAUUAUUAUCCUCACUUGACAAAGUGUGAAAGAGGUUAAACAGUUUGCCCAAGGUCACACAUCUCAGUAGCAAAGCCAAAAUCAGGCCCAAUCACUGUGCUCUUAUCAAAAGUAUUAACUCAAUACUUUUGACGCAGGGCACUGAGAAAAGAUUUGUCAAAAUGAAAGAAUGAAUGAAUGAAUGAGCAAUUCCACAUGGUCGAUUACAUAUCAGUUCAGUGUCUCCCGUCGUGUUCCUGACUCUGAUGCAUAGAUAAUGUCGGGGACUAAAAACUAAGAAGCUCAUGACUCUAGCAGAUUGUCCCACUUCCAUUCUGUCUCUUAGGAGCCAUUGACACACUGAGUCCCAGGCAGAGACUCUUCCUAGCUGAGCCUAAUGGAUCUUGGUUGGGUUCAUUAAUGCUAUUGUGGUUCAAAGACAGUCAAUACUCUAGCCACUGCCUCCGAUCAGACUACAUGAAAAAAAGGAAUGCAACUUCUUCCUGUGUUUUGCCCAAGCACAGUAUGUUGUGUGGGUAAUUUCUGGUCUGGCCAGUAAAAACCUCCGGGAGCCUUCCUUUAGGUCUUUAAUUAUGAACUGUAGGGGACACCACAAAAUAAAUACUUAAAAUGUCUAGACAACCAGUCAUCAGAGUAGGAUAAUUAACUUCAAACAUUCUAAAUUGUUGGAGGAGUCGUUAUUCACCUUCUGUAGUUCCUUUCUAUAUCUUUCCCUGGCCAAUAUGUUUGUAGCAACGAGGCUGGGGGACCAGUUGAAACCUUCUCCUGAUACAAAGCAGCCUCUUUUCCCCGGCUCUUAAAUGACAAGUCACAAAAUGACCAGAGAACAUACAAUAAAGGAACAUAAACUGAGACCAUUAGUUUUUCCAAGGAAGGAAAAAAUCUCUCCACUUUUUAAUUACAUCGAAACACAAAACAGCAGGAAGGC
ensembl:lncRNA